ensembl:lncRNA
AUGUUUGUAAGGCAGCGAGUGUUCCGUCAAUUCAUGUUUUUGGCUGAGGGUGUGUGUAAGAACGAACCCACCUUCUCUACUUUCAAAAUGUUACAAGCUCAUCCUUUUCCUGCUGUUCCACAGGUGUCCCGAUGGAGCGUAUUUGGAAGGAGACUGGGCAUCUUCUGUACUGUGAAGAUACCCCAGGUGUCAUAGACCCACCAAAUGUUCACCUUUUCCUCCUCAGCAGUGGAACGCAUUGCCAGGAAAUGGUCUCCGAAUGCUCUAGAAAACCUUCUCCGGUGGAUUACAGUUGGCAUGGAAGGUGAAACCUGUUUGCUGUGCUUGCCCUAGCCCACGGGGGUAGGGAUCAUGUCAUAUUUGUAUUUGGUGCUAGGCAUAUAAGGGCCUCCACGAAUGAGUGAGUGAGUGAAUGGAUACUUACAAGCAUAUUUGCAUUUACUAUGGACUCUGCUGUGACUCCGAUUAAAGCCAAUGGUUUUAAUCAAGGCAGAAUAUCUUCUUUAAACACAAGGAUUAGCCUCUAUGAAAAGAGAAAUGUAAACAGGACUCUAAUUAGAGAAUUUACUAAUUAUUCUUCCCUGCUGAGGACAUUAGCUGGGGUUUAGUCUUUAGCUGUGACUGCCAUACGACUUUCUCUUUAUCUCCAGAAAGGGAAAAAUUGACUGGAAAGAUUCAUUUCAAUACCCUGAUUCCUUUCCUGCUCUCUUUCACCCUCAAAAAAAAAAAAAAAAAAAAAAAAAAAAAGAUAUUCCAGCAUGAAAGAUCACAGACUCAGCCCAAAACAGUGGACCCAGGUUGACGGCAUUCAGGAAGCCUGCACACUCCUGGAGCCCCAACUGCUGAGGUAAAGAUAAAUCGGCAGGAAGAUUUCUUUGGAAUGAUGUGAAUUUAAUGAAUCAUGAAAAAUAUCCCCAGCUGUUCUUAAAUUUAAGGGAGAUUGAGUGAUAACAAAAGAUAGUUUCCCUCCCUCUUAGAUGUAGGUUGGAGCGGGAAAGAGCAGUGGUUAAAAAAAAAAAAAAAAAAACCCCGAGGCCAAAAGCUUGCCUUUUCUUUCCCAUCUCUUCUAUUGUUGAAGGGGAAAAAAGCUGUCUGCAGUCAGCAGCCACUGAAGGGCACGAUGAAGAGUGUUUGCUAUUACCAGACUUGAAGAAUUCUCCACUCUGGUUUCAAAGAUGUGGCUGCCCUAGCA